rnacentral:rRNA from 1 species
GGGUUGUGAGGUUAAGCGACUAAGCGUACACGGUGGAUGCCCUGGCAGUCAGAGGCGAUGAAGGACGUGCUAAUCUGCGAAAAGCGUCGGUAAGGUGAUAUGAACCGUUAUAACCGGCGAUGUCCGAAUGGGGAAACCCAGUGUGAUUCGUCACACUAUCGUUAACUGAAUACAUAGGUUAACGAGGCGAACCGGGGGAACUGAAACAUCUAAGUACCCCGAGGAAAAGAAAUCAACCGAGAUUCCCCCAGUAGCGGCGAGCGAACGGGGAGCAGCCCAGAGUCUGAAUCAGCUUGUGUGUUAGUGGAACGGUCUGGAAAGUCCGACGGUACAGGGUGAUAGUCCCGUACACCAAAAUGCACAGGUUGUGAACUCGAAGAGUAGGGCGGGACACGUGGUAUCCUGUCUGAAUAUGGGGGGACCAUCCUCCAAGGCUAAAUACUCCUGACUGACCGAUAGUGAACCAGUACCGUGAGGGAAAGGCGAAAAGAACCCCGGCGAGGGGAGUGAAAAAGAACCUGAAACCGUGUACGUACAAGCAGUGGGAGCACCUUCGGGUGUGACUGCGUACCUUUUGUAUAAUGGGUCAGCGACUUAUAUUCUGUAGCAAGGUUAACCGUAUAGGGGAGCCGCAGGGAAACCGAGUCUUAACUGGGCGUUAAGUUGCAGGGUAUAGACCCGAAACCCGGUGAUCUAGCCAUGGGCAGGUUGAAGGUUGGGUAACACUAACUGGAGGACCGAACCGACUAAUGUUGAAAAAUUAGCGGAUGACUUGUGGCUGGGGGUGAAAGGCCAAUCAAACCGGGAGAUAGCUGGUUCUCCCCGAAAGCUAUUUAGGUAGCGCCUCGUGAAUUCAUCUUCGGGGGUAGAGCACUGUUUCGGCUAGGGGGUCAUCCCGACUUACCAACCCGAUGCAAACUACGAAUACCGAAGAAUGUUAUCACGGGAGACACACGGCGGGUGCUAACGUCCGUCGUGAAGAGGGAAACAACCCAGACCGCCAGCUAAGGUCCCAAAGUCAUGGUUAAGUGGGAAACGAUGUGGGAAGGCACAGACAGCCAGGAUGUUGGCUUAGAAGCAGCCAUCAUUUAAAGAAAGCGUAAUAGCUCACUGGUCGAGUCGGCCUGCGCGGAAGAUGUAACGGGGCUAAACCAUGCACCGAAGCUGCGGCAGCGACACUAUGUGUUGUUGGGUAGGGGAGCGUUCUGUAAGCCUGUGAAGGUGACCUGUGAGGGUUGCUGGAGGUAUCAGAAGUGCGAAUGCUGACAUAAGUAACGAUAAAGCGGGUGAAAAGCCCGCUCGCCGGAAGACCAAGGGUUCCUGUCCAACGUUAAUCGGGGCAGGGUGAGUCGACCCCUAAGGCGAGGCCGAAAGGCGUAGUCGAUGGGAAACAGGUUAAUAUUCCUGUACUUGGUGUUACUGCGAAGGGGGGACGGAGAAGGCUAUGUUAGCCGGGCGACGGUUGUCCCGGUUUAAGCAUGUAGGCUGAUUGUCCAGGCAAAUCCGGAUAAUCAAGGCUGAGGUGUGAUGACGAGGCACUACGGUGCUGAAGUAACAAAUGCCCUGCUUCCAGGAAAAGCCUCUAAGCAUCAGGUAACAUUAAAUCGUACCCCAAACCGACACAGGUGGUCAGGUAGAGAAUACCAAGGCGCUUGAGAGAACUCGGGUGAAGGAACUAGGCAAAAUGGUGCCGUAACUUCGGGAGAAGGCACGCUGGUGUGUAGGUGAAGCCCCUGCGGGUGGAGCUGAGACCAGUCGAAGAUACCAGCUGGCUGCAACUGUUUAUUAAAAACACAGCACUGUGCAAACACGAAAGUGGACGUAUACGGUGUGACGCCUGCCCGGUGCCGGAAGGUUAAUUGAUGGGGUUAUCCGUAAGGAGAAGCUCUUGAUCGAAGCCCCGGUAAACGGCGGCCGUAACUAUAACGGUCCUAAGGUAGCGAAAUUCCUUGUCGGGUAAGUUCCGACCUGCACGAAUGGCGUAAUGAUGGCCAGGCUGUCUCCACCCGAGACUCAGUGAAAUUGAACUCGCUGUGAAGAUGCAGUGUACCCGCGGCAAGACGGAAAGACCCCGUGAACCUUUACUAUAGCUUGACACUGAACAUUGAGCCUUGAUGUGUAGGAUAGGUGGGAGGCUUUGAAGCGUGGACGCCAGUCUGCGUGGAGCCAACCUUGAAAUACCACCCUUUAAUGUUUGAUGUUCUAACGUUGGCCCCUUACCGGGGUUGCGGACAGUGUCUGGUGGGUAGUUUGACUGGGGCGGUCUCCUCCCAAAGCGUAACGGAGGAGCACGAAGGUUAGCUAAUCCUGGUCGGACAUCAGGAGGUUAGUGCAAUGGCAUAAGCUAGCUUGACUGCGAGCGUGACGGCGCGAGCAGGUGCGAAAGCAGGUCAUAGUGAUCCGGUGGUUCUGAAUGGAAGGGCCAUCGCUCAACGGAUAAAAGGUACUCCGGGGAUAACAGGCUGAUACCGCCCAAGAGUUCAUAUCGACGGCGGUGUUUGGCACCUCGAUGUCGGCUCAUCACAUCCUGGGGCUGAAGUAGGUCCCAAGGGUAUGGCUGUUCGCCAUUUAAAGUGGUACGCGAGCUGGGUUUAGAACGUCGUGAGACAGUUCGGUCCCUAUCUGCCGUGGGCGCUGGAGAAUUGAGGGGGGCUGCUCCUAGUACGAGAGGACCGGAGUGGACGCAUCACUGGUGUUCGGGUUGUCAUGCCAAUGGCACUGCCCGGUAGCUAAAUGCGGAAGAGAUAAGUGCUGAAAGCAUCUAAGCACGAAACUUGCCCCGAGAUGAGUUCUCCCUGAGACUUUAAGUCUCCUGAAGGAACGUUAAAGACGAUGACGUUGAUAGGCCGGGUGUGUAAGCGCAGCGAUGCGUUGAGCUAACCGGUACUAAUGAACCGUGAGGCUUAACCUUACAACGCCGAAG